CAGGAUGAACGCUAGCUACAGGCUUAACACAUGCAAGUCGUUGGGCAUCAGGAAGAAAGCUUGCUUUCUUUGCUGGCGACCGGCGCACGGGUGAGUAACACGUAUCCAACCUGCCCUUUACUCGGGGAUAGCCUUUCGAAAGAAAGAUUAAUACCCGAUAGCAUAAUGAUUCCGCAUGGUUUCAUUAUUAAAGGAUUCCGGUAAAGGAUGGGGAUGCGUUCCAUUAGGUUGUUGGUGAGGUAACGGCCCACCAAGCCUUCGAUGGAUAGGGGUUCUGAGAGGAAGGUCCCCCACAUUGGAACUGAGACACGGUCCAAACUCCUACGGGAGGCAGCAGUGAGGAAUAUUGGUCAAUGGGCGCUAGCCUGAACCAGCCAAGUAGCGUGAAGGAUGAAGGCUCUAUGGGUCGUAAACUUCUUUUAUAUAAGAAUAAAGUGCAGUAUGUAUACUGUUUUGUAUGUAUUAUAUGAAUAAGGAUCGGCUAACUCCGUGCCAGCAGCCGCGGUAAUACGGAGGAUCCGAGCGUUAUCCGGAUUUAUUGGGUUUAAAGGGAGCGUAGGUGGACUGGUAAGUCAGUUGUGAAAGUUUGCGGCUCAACCGUAAAAUUGCAGUUGAUACUGUCAGUCUUGAGUACAGUAGAGGUGGGCGGAAUUCGUGGUGUAGCGGUGAAAUGCUUAGAUAUCACGAAGAACUCCGAUUGCGAAGGCAGCUCACUGGACUGCAACUGACACUGAUGCUCGAAAGUGUGGGUAUCAAACAGGAUUAGAUACCCUGGUAGUCCACACAGUAAACGAUGAAUACUCGCUGUUUGCGAUAUACAGUAAGCGGCCAAGCGAAAGCAUUAAGUAUUCCACCUGGGGAGUACGCCGGCAACGGUGAAACUCAAAGGAAUUGACGGGGGCCCGCACAAGCGGAGGAACAUGUGGUUUAAUUCGAUGAUACGCGAGGAACCUUACCCGGGCUUAAAUUGCAGUGGAAUGAUGUGGAAACAUGUCAGUGAGCAAUCACCGCUGUGAAGGUGCUGCAUGGUUGUCGUCAGCUCGUGCCGUGAGGUGUCGGCUUAAGUGCCAUAACGAGCGCAACCCUUAUCUUUAGUUACUAACAGGUUAUGCUGAGGACUCUAGAGAGACUGCCGUCGUAAGAUGUGAGGAAGGUGGGGAUGACGUCAAAUCAGCACGGCCCUUACGUCCGGGGCUACACACGUGUUACAAUGGGGGGUACAGAAGGCAGCUAGCGGGUGACCGUAUGCUAAUCCCAAAAUCCUCUCUCAGUUCGGAUCGAAGUCUGCAACCCGACUUCGUGAAGCUGGAUUCGCUAGUAAUCGCGCAUCAGCCACGGCGCGGUGAAUACGUUCCCGGGCCUUGUACACACCGCCCGUCAAGCCAUGGGAGCCGGGGGUACCUGAAGUACGUAACCGCAAGGAUCGUCCUAGGGUAAAAC
rnacentral:rRNA from 1 species